UACGUAGGGACCAAGCGUUGUUCGGAUUUACUGGGCGUAAAGGGCGCGUAGGCGGCCUGUUAAGUCGAACGUGAAAUCCCCGGGCUCAACCCGGGAACUGCGUCCGAUACUGGCAGGCUUGAAUCCGGGAGAGGGAUGCGGAAUUCCAGGUGUAGCGGUGAAAUGCGUAGAUAUCUGGAGGAACACCGGUGGCGAAGGCGGCAUCCUGGACCGGCAUUGACGCUGAGGCGCGAAAGCCAGGGGAGCAAACGGG
rnacentral:rRNA from 1 species